ensembl:lncRNA
GUCAGGUUUCCAUAGGAAACCAUGCUGUUGGAAGCUGAUUCUUCCAGAGGUCUAACACUAGCCUCUGUAAGUCAGGAAGGCAGCUUAGCAGGCCCACUGGGAAGUAGCAGAUGGAUAGGAAAAUGACAUGCUUUCCAAAAGUAUUUAAAUAUCAACUCUCUUUUGUUACAGCUGUGUAAGAGCCAUAUAAAAUCAAGUAACAUGUAGGAGAGAAAAGGGGUCAUGAAGGAGGAGUUUGAGCAAAAAGUAAUGCUAAAAAAGAAAAAAAAAUCCAUUGCAAAUGGUAAUGUAAAUAAGGUAAAACUUGAAAACUAUGAAGCAAUACUGCAGAUAGUCAUGUCUGAAGGAAUACCUAGAGGGUUCUUUUUGGUGGUGAUCUUCACUCCUGGAUCUGAAUUUUUCUGGACUGUCUCCCUUACCACUUCUGCAGGACACAAUUGCAACAGAAUUUUCCUUGAAUCAACGGAGGACUAUUACUUGAUGAGAUCAUUGUUUUCAGAUUUCCCCAGGAAGGAAAUACUGUCAACACAGUCAGUGUCUGAGUUUAUCCUCUCAGUGGAAAAGACAAUGAUUUAUGGGCAGCUGGAAUUUGCAUGCAUUGCUCCGAAUCUGUGGAAGAAUCUAUGUGGUUGUUCAUGGCCUUCAGAAACAUGGAUGCUGCAAAGCAGAGCUAUGGAGAAUAUGGAAAGCAGGCUCAAAAAGCAUCUGCAAACCUGUGCCAAUAUUACUGCCUCUGUCAUCAAGCAAUGGAAAGGUUUUUCUAGUUAAAUUCAAGUAAUUAAAUCUCCCUGCUCUCAUUAAAAAAAAUACAACUGUCUGCUGCUGGUCUGAAGAAUUGCACAGAGUGAACGUAAAUUUUAAUUUCAUGGUGCAAGUGUUAAAUUAUUGCCAUCUAAGCUGUCUGCCAGUGUUACAUGAAAUCCCACCACAUUUUAAUAAUUCUCCCUUUGUUUUGGAUGGAAAUACCACGUGUUGUGAUUUGGAAGUUUUUAUGUGCAAUUAGAGCCCUGAGAACUACAACAUAAUCACAUUCAAUUCACCUAAUUGGACAGCGAGGAAACUGUCAUUUCUGAAAUGGUUUGUGUCUUUUGGAAUGUCUGUGUGUAUACACAUGUGUAUAAAAUGAAACAUUUUCUCACCCAUCCUGUGUUAAAAUGUAAUAGAAACUCCUGCUAACUGAAGUUGAAGACAUAGCUGGGUGUUCUUUAGUAACCUCAAAACAUAUACGUGUGCGUGUAAAUAAAAAACUGUCCUUCUAAACACAAGGAUCCUUCCCUCGUACUUACUUUGCAACAUCUUAGUAAGGAUUUGCCAUCAAUUCCCUCUCUUUACAGUGCAUUUGAUGACAUUUUACAGAUCAUCAUACUAAAUAAGUAAGAACCAUCCUCUCUGAUUUAGAAGAAAAACCUUUAUUUAUUUCAAUUUAUUUUGGGAGUUCAGAAGUAAUGACAAACUUGACAAUCUUCAUGACAAACAUGAUAAUCUUCACAUCACUUUAAGCUGUGUGACCAAAAAGCCAUUAGCUUCACAGAAACAGACAAUACAUUUCAUCCUGAAACAACACUUAUGAUCAACAUUUAUGCAAUCUAUAGGUACUUCCUAUAUUUGUAUCAAUGCAAGUAAGAAGACAUGGAGUAUCAAACCAGCAAGGGCUUAGAAAUAUCAAGCCCAAGAGUUUACCCAUUUACUUCAGUGGAAAAUAGUGCUAGUAAAUAUCAAUACAUAUUUUAAUCUUUUAUUUCAGUAAUUUCCAUGUAAAAGCAAACAUAUUCUGCCAACUUUAUUCAUUGUCUUUGAUCUUUUUUUGAAGCAUAUUAUGAUAGAUUUCUGAAUCUUUUAAUUCAAUGUUGAAGUAGAUAUUAAGUAUAUCACAACACCAAUCCACACUAAAUAGAACUUUUGUUUUUUGUUCUUUUGCUGAAAUGUCUGACAGUAUUUCAAGAAUAAUUUAAUUAUGAACUUUAUAUUAACAAAAGACAAGUGAUUUUUUAUUCCAUUCAGUGUGGAAUAAGAUACUACCUAUAUUUGUUAAGCCCUGUGUAUCAACCAGAAUUUGCAAAGGGAAGUUAUCAACUUCAGAUACUCAUUCUCCAUUUCCCAUAAAUAUGUUAAAAAUACAAAGUCAGCUCCUAAGUUUUUCAUCAAAUAAACUAGCUUAUUAAGAUUAAGUGGCCUGAAACCACCAUCUGUGAGUUCACAUUUAUAUCUAGAAAACCUGUAUAAUCAUGUGUAUUGAGAGUAAGGCUUAGUGUUGGAAGGCCCAACCUUGUAAACAAGCUUUGUUUACACAAGAAGACAAUAGGACUCUUCUUUUGUUUCAGAGUUUACAUGUUCAGAGGCUGAGAUCACUAUUUUUGAAAUGUGAUGAUGGGAAUACAAAGUAAUUACCUUUAUGAAGGUUUUACAAAGAAUCCUGUAAGUAAAGCCCAUGACAGAAAUAUAUAGUGUCUCCAAAGAAACAAUUAUGAUGUAUUGUGUUUGAAUAAUAACUCAGAAUGUUUUAUCAUCAUCUGUUUACAUAAUAAGUCAUAAUAACUUUUCAAAAUAUGGUGCUUGCAUUUUUAUUAUUGUUUUAAGUGUACAUAGGGGAAUUACUACAGCCUAGAAUCAUAAACUUUGUAAAACUUUGUUGAAGACUGCAUUUUUAUUCCCAUCCUCUUCUGCUCAAACAAAAAUGUAAAGGAAACAACACACAAAUAAAAGUACGCUAAAAUAAUCCCGUGUGUCUGGCUAAAAGAAAAGACAGGAAAUUCUUAAAAGUGUGGUUAUAAACUGAAAAAUGCCUUUAAACAUGGCUUCCUACUGUCUCACAUUUAUAUAUUCAUAAUUAUUUCACUAUCAAUAUUUUCUUUGCUUAUAUGUACACAAAUUACAUUAUUCAACAUGCCAAGACCACAUUCUCAGUCUGAUAUCUGGAAUACAAAGCCCUGUUGUCACUGGCUUCUACUACAGUGUUAAAGAUGGAACUGAGAGAAAUUCCUAGAUUCCCUCUCCUGGAAACUUUAUGAUUUAAGCCUACUUCUGACCUUUAGCAAUAUUUCCUUGAGGAGACUGAGGUCCAAAUUAAACUUUCAGGAAUUACAAGAGAAAUUUCAAUGAACUCUAGAGAUGCCAGAAAGACAAAUGACAAAAGUAGUUAAAGCAAAAGUGCUGAGCACGUCUUAAGUGCUUCAAUUAGAACUCUUGUUCCCCACAGGAUGUUCCAGAAAGGUGUAGAGGUGCUCACAGACCCUCACAAUGGUUUCAGACAUCUAGCCCACAAAGUAGAAUCCAAAGCCAAGAUUAGAGAGCUGUUACCUACAGAGAACAGAUGAUGUUAUGUGAG